AUCGUUCAUCCUUAACAAAGGACGCAAGUAAGCCGACACGGAACGGAUUUCGUUCAUCUCUUAGGAGACGCAAAUGUUGACUGAAGGAACGGGUU
rnacentral:ncRNA from 1 species